GGAGGGGAACCCAUGGGAAAGGUGGGCAAGGCUAGAAGAGGUGUGACAGCUGGAAGAGCACAGCUGGCUUCAAAGGUAAAUCUGGGUGUUUCCGGAGACAAGGAAGGAACCACAUCCUCUUCAGAGGCAAACGUGAUGGGCUUUGGGGGCAAAGCUGAAUACAUGUGUUUUCGGAUUAUCUGGUGUCAUUGGCUCCUAGAGGGAUAACAGUGAGGCAUCCCGGCAGCCACAGAAAGUGCCCAGGUGAGCCAGAGAGCAGACCUCACUCAACUAGAGGCUCCUUACAGCUGGAGAAGGAGUGUCGCGGGGCCGGACCUUACCCAGGAGAUGAUGAACUGCCGGGCAUACUGGUUGUUGGAAUAAAUCCUCUCCCGCAACAAGGGGAUGAAGCCCACCAGGUCGAACUUGUUGCUCUCCGUCACGAUGUCCUGUGGGUCAAAGGCAUGAGAGCUGCCUGCUGGGGGCGGGGGCUGCCUGACCUGGCUGAAUCCCUGGCCCGGGCUGGCUCCAGGGGUCAGGCGGACACAGAGGAAGAUGACGGAGCCUGAGUCAGGCAGGAGAGGCCCCCGGAGCAUCCCUCCUCACACAGGCCGAAGGACCAGCAGAAAGGAUGCACUGAAAGCAGGAAUCAAGGUCGAGAGAACUAAUCAAAAGGCAAAACCCUGCAUCUCUGUGGUCUGGCUCGAAUGCCCUGGGACGGUGCUGAACUGGGCCUACAUCCAACAGGGAAGAUCCACAAACAAACAAGUAUGUGUAGCAACAUGACACAAGCAACACCACAGAAGCAAGAACGCCGCAGCCCCACAGCUCCAGGCCAGAGUCCCUGAGGACAGACUGGUGCCACGAUUCUCUGCCUCUUGAGCGCCAGCCCUCUGCCCGCGUCUAGAGCUCCCCACACAGGCACAGGCAGAGAGAAAAAGCAACUACAAAGGGAAGCAGAGGAAGUGAAGUUUGAAAUCCGGGCGUCCCCAGUUCCAGGCUAGUGUCUCUUCAAAAGAACACCCCGUCUCCUCUUUCAUCUCCACGUUGUGAGCCACAGCUGGGGGAUCUCAACUAGUUCUGAAGUUAAUAUCUGGCCCAGAUCACAAGUCCCGGUGACCUUUGCUGACGUUAGGGUCACACGCAUCGCUGUUCUAUGUCCCAGAGAAGAGAUCGGCUUCUGCUUCAUUUCUCUAAAAACUCUGGCUGACGAAGUAUCCUCUAGAGAUCGCUCAGAGCCUCCAUUCUCAACUAGUCAGAGGUGUCGCAGGAUGGCAGCGACACCCAUUCCCCAGGAGGCACAACGCCCAAUGCUGGCCAACUCCAAGCUCUCUACCCUGCUCUCAACUUCACCAAGUGCCACACCGACUACCUUGUCCCUGAUUGCGAAGGAGCCACAGACAGGCCAGGAUGUGUCUUUCACCCAAGGAGAACCUGGGGCCUCGUCUCAGCAACACAAAUGAGACAGGAACGGGGCAGGGCACAACCUUUACAAGAAUGCCAUAGCCAUUGAGGACACGACAUAAACUGGUUAGAAACAGCUAGGUUCAAGAUGGCAGAUGACUGACUUCUACUAACCUUGAGCCUCAGUACAGCUUCACUGUAACACAUCAGCAAGCUAAAUGACACACCCACAGGCGCCAUGUCAAUUCCGAGGCGGACAGUAAAAGGCCAGAAGUGGGCGGUGGCUCCAUUCCUGGAAUAAGCCUCUCAUUAGCCUAUGAAAUUACCCACCCCUAUAAAAACUGACAAUCCCAUACCCUGGGGCCUCUCUCACCUUCCGAGAUGGCUCACACUCUGUCUAUGGAGUGUGUAUCUCCCUGAAUAAACCUUCUUUCAGUUUA